GAAAUGCGAUAACUAAUGUGAAUUGCAGAAUUCAGUGAAUCAUCGAGUCUUUGAACGCACAUUGCGCCCCCUGGUAUUCCGGGGGGCAUGCCUGUCCGAGCGUCAUUGCUGCCCUCAAGCACGGCUUGUGUGUUGGGCCGCCGUCCCCGCCUCCCCGGGGACGGGCCCGAAAGGCAGCGGCGGCACCGUGUCCGGUCCUCGAGCGUAUGGGGCUUUGUCACCCGCUCUGUAGGCCUGGCCGGCGCCAGCCGACGUACCAACCCUUUUUCUUUAGGUUGACCUCGGAUCAGGUAGGGAUACCCGCUGAACUUAA
rnacentral:misc_RNA from 1 species